rnacentral:rRNA from 1 species
AGAUUGAACGCUGGCGGCAUGCCUUACACAUGCAAGUCGAGCGGCAGCACGGGAGCAAUCCUGGUGGCGAGUGGCGAACGGGUGAGUAAUAUAUCGGAACGUGCCCAGUCGUGGGGGAUAACGCAGCGAAAGCUGUGCUAAUACCGCAUACGAUCUAUGGAUGAAAGCGGGGGAUCGCAAGACCUCGCGCGAUUGGAGCGGCCGAUAUCAGAUUAGCUAGUUGUGGGUAAAGACUACCAAGGCGACGAUCUGUAGCUGGUCUGAGAGGACGACCAGCCACACUGAACUAGAGACACGGUCCAGACUCCGUACGGGAGGCAGACAGGUGGGAAGUUUUGGACAAGUGGGGCGCAACGCCUGAUACCCGAGACCAAGUUGGCCCGCGGUCGACCGAAGG